CUGGGAGCGCAACAGCCUUUGAUGCCAUCUUCAGCGCGAAAACUAACGAAAAUAGCAGGAAGGGAGGAAAGAGUACUUUUUUCCCCCUCCCCCGCCCCCCCAAACUAAGGCUUUUCUUACCUCACCCACGACCCGUACACAACGUCACAGAAAUGGGUUUGAAGACCGCUCUUAACUGCCGUGAAUUCUGUGAAUUCCGACUUGAGCAAUAAAGUUAAAAGGGGAAUGAAAAAAAAAAAAGAAGAAGAAGAAGAAGAAGCAAGCCAUCAGGCUGGAAUUCCUUAACAGCAGCACCCUGCUAAUGACCCUUUUGUCCUUAAAGCACCACUCAGCCUCUGCUUUUACAUCCCGCCUUGUUUUGUUCUGCGGGAAUAUUCGCAUAUCACAUGAAAGGGAUGUGUGAACGGACGCAUUUCCCCCCUCCUAUCAAUAUUCCUAUUUUGUCAGUUCCUUAAUGCAUGCAGGAACCUCUCCCAUAGCAACACAGAAAGCUUAAGAAACUUUGCCUAAUUCUUUAAUUACCUUUUUCUUUCUAUUAAGAGGAGCUCGGGCAUUUCUGAGACAGAAAAUCAAUACAUCAUCUAUUAUAUUAGUCUCGGGAACAGCAGAUCUAGCCGUACUGAUGGUGAAAGGCCGAGUGUUCUGGAAUAAAGCGUAGACUUCUGAUCUUCCUGAAGUAUUUAAGGCGAUUGAGAAUGUAAGGAUUUAUAAAGAAACUUCGGGUUUAUGCUUUACAUGAUUCAAAGUAUUAUGCUCUUUCUUUCUUUUUUUUUUUUUUCCUUUCCCUUCUCAGUUUUAGGAAUAUCAUAAAGAGAUCGUUUUUGUGAUUCCAAGCCAGGCCGAGUUGUUCUGAUGUCCGCAGCAGCUGGAAGAGAAAACCAUACAACGGCUGAUGGAGUUGGCUGCAGCAAGAAAAUCACAUCUCAGUUCCCAGGAUUUCAGAAAGAUGGGCCUCCUCCGAUAGUUGCAAAUCUCUGCAAAACGUUCUGGUGCUGCUGUGCACUGGUUUGAUCAGAUCUUGGCGAUUUCCUCCUGCGUGCACUCCAUGGCUCUGCUCUUGAGGAUGGAUGAUGCUACCCGGAACUGUGUCUGAUUCAGUGUGCUGAAGGAGGAGAGAAGGGGGAUGCGGAGUUGAUCUUCAAAACUGGCCCGCGUAUUUUGGGUAACAUGUAACGUGUCACAUUUAUUCUAGGCUCACAGCAGCCUAGUUGUGAGAAAAAAAUGUGGAACCAACAUAUGGCUUAGAACUGCUAGCAAUGCAGGGCUAGCAGGAGGUACUUCUGAGGUGCUACACCAUCCACAACACUCGAAUUUUAAAUGUGAUCCGAGUGUGUCCUCUCGAGUGUGACCUGACAGUAAUUAUCGAUCAGGGUCUUCAGUCACUGCUUGAAUUCCUUAGGUCAGUUGAUUUUGAUCAACUGUUUUGUCUUUGUUUUGCUUCCCUGGGGGAAGGGGAAAAGUUGGUUGUGCUGGGAGGGAAGGAACAGCACUGACCAUAGCACUGCAACAUGUAGCACCAACAGAUUUAUUCCUUGGAACAACAACAAAAAAAGUGGGUUUCGAAGGUUUCGAUACCCCCGAUUAAACCAAAGCUGUUCGCGAGGAAAAUGAGAACAGUUGGUGAUGCUCUCGACUACUUUCUUACAGGUCUGAGCCGUUGGCAGCACUGCUGUGCUGAUUCCCCUUCGUCUAAGCGUUCCUGACCGAUCCGUGCCUUGCCCGGAGCGGAAAGGUAAAGAGAGGUCCUUCCGUUUGUGUCGGAGAUGGCUUCUUUCCUGGGCUGGCUUUCUUUGCGGCGUAGGUACGCCGAACCCUGCCGCUUUCCAGUGCCCUUUUUCAGAAGGUUACGGUAUGUCCAGCGGUUGCCCGGGGCCAUUUGGGGGAAGGGAGCGCUGGGGGAGGGGGAUCUUUGUCUCUUCCCGGGCAGAUUUGAGAUCUUGCGAAAGCACAGCGCUUUUGUUGCAGGAGACUACAGUUUCCCUCAGCCAAAGUUUUAAUUACAUCAGGGGUCAAAGGCUCGCCGUUUUCAGCCCCCCGUUUGAAUGCGGAGGCAAUGGAACGGCUCGCCUUUGAGCGGAGGCAUUCACACUUCCCCGCACAUCUGCCCGCUCCGUGUCACACGCCGCUGCCCACCAUUGUGCUGCGGCCCCACGCUGCGAGCAAUGCGAGCCGGGCCGGGCUGCGCCUCUGCGCCGUGAUAAACCUCGGCGCAGCACAGCGGCAGCUUCGGCCCUGGCCUGCCGAAGUUUGCGUCCUUGUUUGUUGGUUGGCUGGUCGGUUGGUCUUAUGAGGCUGAACUUUGUUUCGCUUUGUCUGUUCUGAAGUCUGCAGGGGGGUCCCGAAUUUCGCGCUUUUUUUUUUUUUUUUUUCAGGGUCGCCGCCGAAGUGCUGAUGAGUUUCUCAUUUGUUUGUUUAUUCGUUUAUUUACAGCUUCUCUGUGAAAGCGGGAUUCUUCUGCUCGGAACUGAACACCGGUGAACACAAAAUGCAUACAUACAUACAAAAGAAUGCUGUGCUCAGGCUGCCUUUAAAACGCACGACUACGUAGAAGCUCCACGGGGAUCUGCAGGGAUAUGCAAACGUGACUCCUUUUACAAAAGCCACGGUGCUUUCUUCUCACCUCCGUGCAGAUGCCACUUCAUUUCUGCCGUGGGUUCUAAUAAGGCCUCUGGCAGGUGGGCAAAACGUUACGCUCUACCGUUGCCUUUCUUGGGAAAUCCCCUGAAAAUUCUCAAUAUCACAAAUGAAAGAUUUAUUUUGCCCUAAACGACAUUAUUCCGAUUAAAUCCAUAGAGGCUACAGUGAAUAAGCAACAUACAGUCUCGUCGUUGCACCGAGAAAGCGCCGGCAGGGUACAGCGCACGCGCCUGCAUAUUCUAAUCGGCUCUGUGAGUGGGCCGUCUAAGGCAGCAGAUGCAUUAACUGUUGGCUUUAAUUAAUACCCGCGCUAAUGACCGCUAGAGAGUGCUCUUGUCCCUGUUGGUGAGCGCUGCCGCAUUUUCGUCCUCUGAGGAAAUGGGACAGCCGAUUCCAGCGCCGUAGGGAUGAGAGUGAAUUGGUAAGGAGGCGAACCCCAUCAGUUGUUUAAGUCAGGCACGGCGCCUGGCCGUGUGUGUCCCACUCGGGUAUGUUCCCUCUAACUGGGGGCUGCCUAAACCAGGCAGUAUCUUCUGCCCUACGUCUUCAAUACGCUGUGCUUUUUGCACAAAAAUAGCAAAAGAGGACGAUAGCAAAGGCUUUAAUUCAGCCGAGCUGCUGGUGUUGAAGUUAAGAAGCACCUACUGAAAUGCUUUGCAUUUGGUACAAAAGCCAGUCAUUCUCUUCCGAACAUAACGUGACUUUUCAUGUUUGGUGCAGUCAGGGUUUUGCAGCCAGGUUUUUCCUAAGGCUUUUCAGUCUCGUGUGCUGCCCCGUCUUUGGAAACGCCUUGUUUCCAAGUCCCGGAGCUCUCACUUGUGUUGGGCUGCUCUCUGUCGCACACUUUGCUGUAGUGCACGUCUCUCGGCAGCUUCACUGCUUUCUGGGCACACUGAGCUGGGAGUUCCACCUGCCAUGCAGCUGACGCCCCGAGCUGCUGGGAACGUCUCCCUUUGGCCAGUUCAGCUUCUAUCCAUCUUGUUUAUAAAGUGCCACUGAGAUUCAUAGCAGAGCGCCGGUGUACCAUGAGAGCACCACGGCCCGCCUGGCUUCCUGGCAUGGAAAUACAGCCAGCUGUGAUUCACUAUGCAGGUGAGGCACUUGGCUGAGCUCAGUGUGAUGCUGUGAUGCUGCUGUAUCUGUAUGCACAUUGCCAGUGCCCCGUGCGAUGUGUGCUGAAACCACAACAGCUUCCAAGCAGACCACCCACUGCACUGCGCAGCAAUGCGUUUUACAUAUCUGACAGACCUUUGAGUUGUUUCCUUUUUUAUCGUGUUCUAUUUCUUCUAAAUCGCGUUCCUCCG
ensembl:lncRNA